GUAACAAAAAUGCCAAAAUGCAUGGAAAUCACCCAAUAUGGAUAAAAUAAAGGACAUUACGAGAAAGAUGCCAUUAGUGUUUUUGAGCGUCUUAGGUACCAAACGCGAAAAAUCUUCCAAGUGGCUUCCAUCUCCUACUGUGACCUUGGAAUUUUACUUAUGUAUAUAUAUACCUCUCUUCUAAAACUUAAAUAGUGCCUUAUCUUUUUUAUUUGGCCAGAUUACUUUGGUGCAUUUUUUCAUUCAUUCCACCACUCCAUAGUUAGCUCAAUUUGCAUAAGAUUUCAUGCUGCAUCAUUCAAAAAAGGUUUUUUAUUCUCCUCUAUUUUCAAUCUACAUGCUCCUCUCAUCAUCCACUUGUGGUUGCUGCACCAUCUUCUACAUCUGAAUCUGUUAUUAUAAGUCAAUGAGAGUACUAUUCCUGAAGUCCUGCUUACAGUAAAUUCUGCUAAUAGAUUUUGCUUGAUAAGUUCCACUUUGCAUUAUGUGGUAAUUAGUACAUAAUAAAUACUAUACAUGCCAGUGCUGGAUGGCAUUGAUAACCUAGUAGUCUCUUGUUAUGUUUUUAUAAUAUUCACAAAUAUAAUUAUGUAUGUUCAUGUUUUAUUAGUAUUGUAGAAUGAUGGGUGCACCAGGUGGUCAUUUUAAAUAGUACAAAUAUCUUUGUAUCAUAUUGAAAGUCCCCUAAUCUCCAGACUGACCCCAUAUUCCUGUGGAGCCUCAAGUGCAGCUGUCACGUCCCAAAGCUCGGAAAAAGACCAAAACUGCAGGAAAAGGCAAAUUAUCCCCGGUAUCAGAGCCUGACCUUGAACCUGAGCUUGUUUUAGCAACCAAAGAAGUGGCUAAAAGUCUUGGUGGGGAUGUGAAGGAAACUGAGUCUGAGCUUCUGUCCACCUUGCGCCUCCACUCUUCAGAGACUACCACUGGCACUGCCCCAUCUCUCAGGUUGUGCGUGUCUCCAGCACCCUGCAGUACGUACACACACACACACACAGACAGACGGACAUCAUCAGAGAAAGAAAUUGCUAUGUUCUGUAAAAGUUUAUAAGACAUUAAAAAAAUAAAGGGUUAAGGUUCAAUUAUUUUUCUCUCUCCUUUCUGACUCAAAAAAUAAUUAUUAAACUAUAAGUCAAUAUAUCAAAAUUUAAUCCUUAUAGAAAAGUUUAGUAUGUUACAAUAAUAAGUAAUAAUAAUAAAAUAACAACAAAAUAUUAACUUGAUAAUAAUAAUAAUAAUAAUAAUAAUAAUAAUAAUAAUAAUAAUAAUAAUAAUAAUAAUAAUAAUAAUAAUAGUAAAAAACAUGAAUAUUUUCUAUGGAUGGAUAUUUUUGUAUGAAUACUAGUUAAUAUUAUUAUUAUUAUUAUUAUUAUUAUUAUUAUUAUUAUUAUUAUUAUUAUUAUUAUUAUUAUUAUUAUCAUUAUCAUUAGAAGGCACCUGACCUCUCUCUCUCUCUCUCUCUCUCUCUCUCUCUCUCUCUCUCUCUC